rfam:Oryza barthii chromosome 7, whole genome shotgun sequence.
AAUAAGCGUAGCUAUAAGUUUCUGUAUUCAACUUAGAUCAUCUGUCUUAUUUGAAACUUUUUUAUGAUUAUUAUUUUUUUUGUUAUUAGAUUGUAAAACGUGAAUAUUACUUUAUGCAUGACUUAUGUUAUUUUAGAUUUUCUAAAAAAAUAUAUAAGACGGAUGAUUAAAGUUGGACAGGAAAACUCAUGGUUGCGCUUAUU